UGCAGGAAAAGAUUUAUAUGACGGUGAACUAGCACCAGAAAUCCUAAACACAAAGGAUCAUGCAAUAACUUCCCCAUCUACUAGUAGGACACCAUCUCAGCGUAGUGAUACAAGCAACGUCUCUUCACAAGGAAUUCUUACAACUGGCACAACAAGAGAAAGACAUUCUCAACAAAACAGUGGUGUCUUAGGCAAGCUUUUCUUACAAUU